AUGAGUAACUUUCUUUUGUUGAUUGUGUUUCUAUUGGCUUUGUUACUCAACAUUUCAUCCAGUGUUACUCUUGUUCACUCUUUUCCAUUGCCACACCAUGGUGCACACCCACCGCCACCACCACCUGGGUGCUACCACCAUGUGCCGCCAAAAUAUAGGCAUCGUAAGAUUCCUCCACCACCGCCGGCGGCGUUCUACUUCUUUUCUCCUCCACCUCCUACUUAUCAUCAUUGA